AUGAAAGUCGAACGAACUCUGGUAUUGAUUGGUGCUUGCAUCAUGAUUUACAUUUGAGUGAGUGGCGAACUGGUGAGUAACACGUGGGAAACCUGCCCAGAAGCGGGGGAUAACACCUGGAAACAGAUGCUAAUACCGCAUAACAACUUGGACCGCAUGGUCCGAGUUUGAAAGAUGGCUUCGGCUAUCACUUUUGGAUGGUCCCGCGGCGUAUUAGCUAGAUGGUGAGGUAACGGCUCACCAUGGCAAUGAUACGUAGCCGACCUGAGAGGGUAAUCGGCCACAUUGGGACUGAGACACGGCCCAAACUCCUACGGGAGGCAGCAGUAGGGAAUCUUCCACAAUGGACGAAAGUCUGAUGGAGCAACGCCGCGUGAGUGAAGAAGGGUUUCGGCUCGUAAAACUCUGUUGUUAAAGAAGAACAUAUCUGAGAGUAACUGUUCAGGUAUUGACGGUAUUUAACCAGAAAGCCACGGCUAACUACGUGCCAGCAGCCGCGGUAAUACGUAGGUGGCAAGCGUUGUCCGGAUUUAUUGGGCGUAAAGCGAGCGCAGGCGGUUUUUUAAGUCUGAUGUGAAAGCCUUCGGCUCAACCGAAGAAGUGCAUCGGAAACUGGGAAACUUGAGUGCAGAAGAGGACAGUGGAACUCCAUGUGUAGCGGUGAAAUGCGUAGAUAUAUGGAAGAACACCAGUGGCGAAGGCGGCUGUCUGGUCUGUAACUGACGCUGAGGCUCGAAAGUAUGGGUAGCAAACAGGAUUAGAUACCCUGGUAGUCCAUACCGUAAACGAUGAAUGCUAAGUGUUGGAGGGUUUCCGCCCUUCAGUGCUGCAGCUAACGCAUUAAGCAUUCCGCCUGGGGGAGUACGGCCGCAAGGCUGAAACUCAAAGGAAUUGACGGGGGCCCGCACAAGCGGU
rnacentral:rRNA from 2 species